rnacentral:rRNA from 1 species
GCGUUGUCCGGAAUUAUUGGGCGUAAAGAGCUUGUAGGCGGUUUGUCGCGUCUGCCGUGAAAGCCCAGGGCUUAACCCUGGGUCUGCGGUGGGUACGGGCAGACUAGAGUGUGGUAGGGGAGACUGGAAUUCCUGGUGUAGCGGUGAAAUGCGCAGAUAUCAGGAGGAACACCGAUGGCGAAGGCAGGUCUCUGGGCCACUACUGACGCUGAGAAGCGAAAGCAUGGGGAGCAAACAGG